UACGAAGGGGGCUAGCGUUGCUCGGAAUCACUGGGCGUAAAGCGCACGUAAGCGGAUUGUUAAGUCAGGGGUGAAAUCCUGGAGCUCAACUCCAGAACUGCCUUUGAUACUGGCGAUCUUGAGUCCGGGAGAGGUGAGUGGAACUGCGAGUGUAGAGGUGAAAUUCGUAGAUAUCCGCAAGAACACCAGUGGCGAAGGCGGCUCACUGGCCCGGUACUGACGCUGAGGUGCGAAAGCGUGGGGAGCAAACAGGG
rnacentral:rRNA from 1 species